GAGUGUGUUUAUGCCUCUUGGAAUAUUUCACAGUGCGAGAGAUAUUAAUUACGACAUUAUUUUCAACCUUCGCCCUCAAGUAGAGGUGCAUAGAUGGAGGCUGCAGAACAUUUGGAACGAGCUUUUUUGUUUAUUCCAGGUGAUGUGCCGUGACUUGUCAGGGGAUGGACUUUAAACCGAGCCCUGACCUGCGGCAGAUCACCACUGGAGCCUUUCUGUAGUUCACUGAAGCAGCGUAGAUAUGAACACGGGGUAGCGGUUUGUAGUCCUGUGUGAUGUGGGCAUCGGCUGCGUUAUUCGUAUCUACUAAAGAUAUGCUCCACAAAGGCACCUUCUAUCACAGAAAACACACACCUGUAUAUGUUUUCCAUCGCUUGACUCACCUUUGCAAAUGUUGCACUGCUUGGUGCUAAGAGUUUCCUUGCAUCUAGGCGGAUGAUAACGACGGAGUACAUUUCCUCUAAUGCUUCCGACGCUCUGUUUGGCUUUGGUAUAAACGCCUAUAGAUGAGCCAACAUGCUAAGAAAACAAUUACCCUACUACCCAAAUACAUUGCUUCAAGUUAACGUUAUUAUUUCUGAUGCAUUUGCAUUAAAUCUGUAUGGACGGCCCUUUUGUAAGCUCGAAGGCAAUAUAGCGAAAACACUAGAUUUUAUAUUAACGGAUGUACUGAAUAUACAUCUUGAAUGUCAUAAUAUUUGGAUAGACUGCUGUGCCUCAUGUACUCUUAACCAGUGUUCUCGGAUCUUUUAUCCAUGGAGUAGUACAUGUAGCUUUAUCCUUCCCUCAUACUCUGAUGAGAAUCAGAAACACUGGAUGACUGUGAGCAGAACCCAUUCCUAUCCACUCCCUUCCCCUUAUACGUAGACACUUUAAUAAACUCGACCAUUACAAGGCUUUUUAAUGGUACAUAUACUGUAGUAUGACUGGUUUGUCCUCUUGUCCUCUUAUUCCAAGCUGUUCUUCAGUAAAACAGGAUCAAAUGGCGUUUUAGGAAGAACUGUUAAUUUAUUUUAAUUUUUUUUGUUAACCACUACACUACACUUGGGAUUGUAAUCACAGUGACUGUAUUUAUUUUCUAAUCAGCGCUACAUAUUUUGUUUCUCUCCAUCAUUUUGUGUUAAGCUUACAUGUACCUCUUUUCUUUUUCUUUUCUUCAUAGUGGAUCAUGUCCAUAAACUGAGUUUGGGGCCAUUUUUUAUUUUUUUAUUUUAUUUUUAUUUUUUUUUCCCCAGUAGGCUUAAAUUUAUUUUAGAUCAUAAAUCGAAGAUAACAUGCUGUUUUCCAUACUGUGAAUUUAUUUCAUUUCUAGAGGAGACCUCUGAAUGAAUCCGAGAUCACCUACUAAUGGGCUUUACUUGAGCUCGUCAACUGCUUUUGCUGUUGUUGGUUUGUUUGUUUUUUUGUUUUUUUGUUUUUUUUUGCUUUUUUUUCUGAUAAUGAGCAAUGAUUAUUUUUGCUUGCUAGAUAAAUCCUAAGGUAUAGAUUUGUACUGAAAUGACCAGUAUUUUCAUAAUGCUAUAUACUGUAAAUUUGUAUCACAUUAAUUAAACUGUUUAAAAGGAUAAAUACUAUAUUAAAACAUAGGUGCACAUGUAUACAUUAGUCUACAAGCUGGAUGAAAUAAACUAAUGUGUAGAAAUGACUGUUUUGGCAUGACUGUUUCUUUUAUGUAACACGGUUACUGUAACUCAUUUAAGUCAGUUAGGUCUGUAGUGAAUAUCACCUGAUACACUUAAG
ensembl:lncRNA